AGAAAUUAAUUAAUCAUUAAUUUAAUAUAAUAGCAUGUAUUGCAAUAUUGAAGUACUUACAAUACAUGGCAACGUGACAAUUGACGAUAUUGUAAUAGACAAUGCGUGACCACCAUUUUAAUUUUGAUGAUCAAUUAGUGACAGUUAAUAGUAAUACAAUCGUAGUGGUAAUCGAUAUAUCGAUAAAUUUUUUACGACACUUCGUUUUUAUCACCUAAACUAAAGGUAUGAUAUUAACUUAAUAAAAUUAUUUAUAUACAAUUUAUUGGAAAUUUUGUUUAUAAAAACUUGGCUACCGAAUAGAUACAUAUACAGUCUUAAAAUGUACAUGUUGAAACUAUCGUUCAUUCUCCUAUUUUUGGGAUUUGUCAAGUUUUCGUGGCAGGAAGAACAAGUUCCCAAAGUGAGCACAUUUGCGGGAAACAUUCGUGGUUAUUAUAAGAAAUCUCGACAUGAUAGAUUAUACGAAGCUUAUGAAGGUAUUCCUUAUGCACAAUCUCCAGUUGGUAAAUUUAGAUUCCAACCACCUCGACCAAUAAAAAAAUGGUCGAAAGAUCUAUUAGCCACGAAGAAAAGUUCCGUUUGUAUGCAAUACCUUAUGACUUUUACGACACAUGGAAACAGAGUAAAAGGUUCCGAAGAUUGUUUGUACAUAAAUAUUUAUGUACCAGUUAGAAAUAAUAGAAAACCAUUAUUACCGGUGAUGUUUUGGAUUCACGGAGGCGCCUUCCAGUUUGCCAGUGGGAACGAAGCAAACGAGACAUUUUUAAUGGAUCGUAAUAUUGUAUUUGUUGCGAUUAAUUAUCGUUUAGGACCAUUUGGCUUCCUUAGUACUGGAGAUAUUAUAGUACCUGGAAAUAUGGGAUUGAAAGAUCAAAGUAUGGCUUUACGUUGGGUGUUUAAUAAUAUUAAAAGUUUCGGUGGUGAUCCAAAUAAAAUAACAAUUUUUGGAAUGAGUGCGGGUGGCGCUAGUGUUCAUUAUCACUAUUUAUCACCUAUGAGUGCCGGUCUUUUCAAAAGAGGAAUAUCGAUAAGUGGUGUAGCAUUCUGUCCUUGGGCACAGACGAAGCAUGCUCCUGAAAAAGCUAAAAAAUUGGGUGCUCUUAUGAAAUGUCGGACAGAUGAUACGAAAAAAAUGAUCGAUUGUCUUCAAAGUCGGCCUGCACGAAAUAUAGCACAAGCUGUUGGCGAUUUCAUGUUUUGGUUGUAUAAUCCUUUCGCUCCUUUCGGACCAGUUGUUGAGACAUAUGGAUCCAAUCCCUUUAUUUCUAAUUCUCCAAUUAAUAUUAUCAAUAAUGGCCAAGCUUAUGAUGUUCCUUGGAUCUCUGGCGUAGUUAGCAAAGAAGGAUUAUAUACUGCUGCAGAAUUUAUUGGCAAUGCUAAACUGUUACGGCAUUUGAACGAUCAUUGGGACGAUAUUGCACCGUAUUUACUCGAUUUCAAUAAUACUAUUCCGCUAGAUCAGCAUAAACAAGUAGCGGAAAAAAUUAAAAAUUAUUAUCUGGGAUCAGGUCCGAUUAAUUUCGACAAAGUGGGAUCAAUAAUACAAAUGAUGAGUGAUCGAUUGUUCAACAUCGAUUUCGAGAAAGCUGUUAGAUUACAAGCAAGAAUUAAUAAGAGUCCAGUAUGGAUAUAUUAUUAUAGUUACAGAGCUAAACAUAGUGUUAGUGAAAUUUUAAGCGGAGGUUCAACUGCAAAUUACGUUAGGAGUAAGCCAUGGCGAUGAUAUAUUUCUUACACUUGAUUCAAUUAUUUCAAACGUAACAAAACCACAGGAUUUGACUAUGCAACAGUUAUUGAUCAAUUUUUAUACAUCAUUUGCUAUACAGGGUAUUCCACGUAUAGACGAAGCUACAUGGCCAUCAUUAAAUCCUAAUGAUCCUGAUUUUCGUUAUCUGCAUAUAGUUAAUGUUACAAAUAUAAAAAUGAAAGUUAAUAAUAAUUUUGCUAAUAAAAACUUCUGGAAAACGAUUCCUUUUAACGAAAAUAAGCUAAAUUAGAAGA